CCUGCCCAUAAAGGUGUUGCAGGUAUGGCUGCUGUGUCAUAUGUGUGUCAGUGUGUGGCAGAAAGGAGAGAGGCUAUGUCUACACUCGGUGUUCUGACCUAUGAACAUCUGAAUGAAGGGUGGCCUAACAGU